GGUUCUUAAUGCAAGUCCAAUAAAAUUUAGAUUAAAAAGGAAGUUCGAAUAUUUGGAAGAUACUACUAAAGAUAAGUUAAAACGCAAGUAUGUUCGCCUAGAAAACUUAUUAAAUAAAAAAUUUGCGGAAGCUGUUGCUCCUGGACAAGAGGAAAUACUUAUAGAUUUUCUUAACAGUAAAAAUGUUGAUGAAAUAAAUAGCCCUCUCCCAAUUGAAAUUAUUCGUGCUCAGAAAGUAUAUAAGCAAAGUGAUUCCAUGGGAAAGUUAGUUAUACUCUCAUAACUAGCCAACAGAUAAGAUCUUUAUUAUCAAGGUAGGCAUUGUUGCUAUCAAAACUUUUGCAAAUUAGAUUAUGUUUCUGACUGUUAAAUAGUUCUUUUACAAAUAUGAAAUUAAAAUUUAGGUGAAAGUUAUAAUUUUGUGUGUUUGUUUACAUAUGUUUAAAAAUAUGUACAAUUGAUAUUGUUAUAGAUUUAGUAACCUGAAAAGAAAAGGUAAGCUGGUAGAACCGACAACAGAAAAUAAUGAUAAUAGUCAGGUUAACGAUAACAAAGAAGUUUAUGGCGAAAAUGAUGACUUUAAUCUGACAGGAGACAAUGAAGUUGAUAAUAAAUAUGAGGAAGACAUCGCCAAUCUUGCAAAAGAAAUUUGUCUUGUAUGGAAAGUGAAUGAUUGGGUUGCUGUUGUAUAUGAAAAACAAUGGAAUAUUGGAUAUAUUGUGGAGGUAUCUAUAACUGGGAUCAUAGUUAAUUGUAUGAUUAACGGGCAAGAGAAGAAUACUUUUCGCUGGCCAGUUACUACUGAGGAGAUAAAUAACCAAACUGAUAAAAUUAUCUGUUUAGUAAAUGCUCCUUUUCGAAUCAGUGGUUGUGGCGAUUAUUCAUUAUCCGAAGAAGACUAUAAUACAGUCAUAUCAUUAUUCUUAGAGAAACUUACUGCAGCAGAGUAGAAAUUAUGUGUGAUGUGGUGGAUAAUGUGUGUAAAUGACUCUAUUAAUAAAUGAAAAACUAAUUUUUAAAUGGAAAAACAUUUAAAUGUUUGAUUUAUGUUUUAUUUAAUUAGCAAUAUAGUUAUCUUGAUGUUA